GUGGCUUUUAUAGCAGCGUCCAGCUGCAUUGUGUUCAAUCCAGCAAGAGAUCUACCAGUUGUGGUUAAAAGAUUUCUUGCAGAUCGAGGCACAUACCUGGGGCAUGCCGUAAGACCAUAGAAAAGCUCCUGAGUCUCUGGUUUAUAAGGCAAAUCAUAUAAUGAAAUCCGUAACAUGCUAACAGGCCUCAAGGAUUCUACAUCUGUGUAAUCAAACAAGAAAAUAACAAAUUCUGCCACUUCAUCUCCUCCUUCGAUAAUCCCUGCAAGGUACGAUUUUUUAUUUUAUUUUUAAGAAAAAUAUAUAUAUUUUUUGUUUUGCCUUGGGUCAUGUACUUUUCCCAUAUAAACAGUUUAAAGAACAUCUGUCACUUUUGAGAUUAGUUCAGUUUUAAAACCAUAGAAUCCAUAAAAUGAUUCUUGUUAUUAAAGUUUCACUCUGACAUUAUUUAAUGGAACUCCAGGAUUUUUUAUUUAUUUUUUAAUACACUGUGGGGAUAAUGCAGUAUAAAAAUGCAAACACUUAAUAAUCCACUUCAAAAUAAUAAAAAAAAGGGAAAAAGCCACCUACAUUUAACAUUUUUGUAUCUGUGACAUUUUAUCCGGUUUUGCACAAAGUACCCAAAAAGGAAGUACCGAAAUACUCCAGAAACUUAAUUUAUUUGUAAAAAAAAAUUUAUAAUUCUUUUUGUUGCGCAUGGCUGAGAAUACAAGCAACUUGUAAUGCCACAACAGUAUCAACAAGUAUGACAACACAAAAAAUAAACUGGUACAUGGCUUCAAAAAUUCUGCAUAUUUGAUAUUAUGUGAUAAUCAAGAUCAUCAAACAUGUCGAAAUUAGGAAAACACUUUUUAUAAUAAAAUAAAAUUUAAUGAGAUAUCAGAGCUACAGUGCUAGUAUUGGAAACUGAGAGAGAUUUGGAAAUACCAAAGACACUGUAGAGCUGUGAAAGAUUUCACUAGAUAGAUACCACUGGGUGAGUAUAUGAAAGUAUUGCAGUUAAUCAGUAUUAGCAGAAAACUAGAUUACAACUUCUGAAUCAUAGAUAACAUUGUGCCUUGGGAGAACCUCAGAAAAUUAUCCCAGCUGCUGGUAAUGCCUUUAUGCCCCCUAACCUAUGCCCAGAGAUGGAGAUGCCCAGCUCUCCCCAUUGCCAUCCAGCACAAUAAAGUCCUUCCAUGGAGGACAAGCCCCAAUAGAGUCAGCAGUAAGCUUUUCCAGGGAGGGUGCCCGGACUUCGUUUGGAGCCGGUAUACACAAUGCGCAGCCCAGAGCCCAGCCACAUGAACCAGAAAAUUCUGAGUUGCACUGGCCAUACUGGAGGCGAAGGAUCUUGUUCCUCUGGAGUCAAGACAAGCGGUAACGGGCAUGUGGGUGCGGCCGGUGAAGUUCCACUGAUGGCAUCUGCUGCAGCUUCUUGCUCCUUCGCCUGUACUGCUCCGCUCGGGAGACAUGUGGGAGAUGCAUAUUAAGGCAGAUAUGAUCAUUAGGGCUGCUUCGGGAUGCCACACAUCUGUUAGCAGCAGGAGAGGUAGGCUCCUUACCAUAGAGCCUCUCCCAGAACCUAUCACAUGUACGAUCAAAUGCUAGAAGUAACAGCUCCAUGUUCGUAGGCGGCAGUGGGGAGGUGGUCAGGGCUGCAGGUUCCGGCAGGUUGACCAUUUUAGAUGUCAGGCCCCAACUCUCUGGAUUGUAGGGCUUGGCAAGGUGGCUGUUUUAAAACCUCAGUGGGCCGGGAUACCCCCCACCGGUCCAAAGGGGAGGUAACGGGGUUCUAAGCAGGCAAGUUUCAGGCCUCUCCAUCCUUAAGUAUAAUUGCAGUCCACAGAUAGGUCUAUCACAGGCUCUGUAUGCCGGCUGCAGGCAAAGUGGUGCCAAGUGAUCGGCAGAAUGUUCCCCAGGGUUGAGGCAAGAGUUGGCCAAGAAAGUGGACAAUAUAGUCCAAUUUUAAGCCCUAUAAGGAGAUUGCCCUGAGGAGCCCCAGCACCAUGCGACUAUUUCGGUCGGCUAUCAGGCCCCGCCCAUUUACCCAUAAAUAUUGCACAGUAGGACUUUAAGCAUAUCUCCCAAGUGUUCCUAUUUAGGAGGGACAGUCCCUAUUUUGCACCCAUAUCCCUCUGUCCCUCUUUUCUAUCCUAAUCUCGCUCUUUUCUAGAGGCUCCAUAUUGUAUGUGUGUCUGAGUGUAUAACAGAGCUCCACAGAGAUGAUACUCAUUGUAAUGUGUAUUUAAACUACAAUAAAUGUGUUUUGGAAUUAGUCUCUGUAAAUUAGAUACAUUGUUCUUGUUCUAAGCUACAUUUUAGUUCCAUGAAUUGUUAUUAGUCGGUCACCGAAAAUUUCUCAGAACAGCCCCGUCCCAGGCCUCAGCCCCACUCGCACCCCUAAAAUCAAAGUGUCCUUUUCUGUCCUUUUGAAAUGUAGGGAGAUAUGCAUUAAGAGAAGAACAGGAGUCUGCCAGUUGUAGUCCAGGUGUCACCUUUUAGGGAAGUAUUUUAGAAUGAGUAUGUGAGACAGAGGUCUAGUAAACAUGCAGGGUGCGUAUCUUUAGGGCGAGGAGGUACAUCAUUUCUGAGAAAUCAUGUUUCCACAACUAUCCUAGAAUUCCCAGCAAAUGAGCAAAGACAGGUGUCGGGCAUCAGACUUAUUUGCAUUAGCAAUGUAUUGUAUAUAUAUAUAAGGCUUCUUGGAGUUGUGGGAGAGGUUUGUUGCUGGCCUAAGUGUACUCCCUCCUCAUAGCCUCCUACUGGCAUUCGGCCUACGUUUUACAAACCCUCCCCCUCUCCCCUUUUUUAUAUAUGUACUCUAAUAGGUAUAUGUACUCUUUUCAGGCCCUACCCCGUUCGUCGGUUUCAGCACACCUCAACCGACUUGCUACUACUAGUAUAACUUAAUCCUUAUUGUAUGCUUUGAAUUUUUGACCUCAAAUAUAUAUACAUUUUGCACACACAUAUUCACAAGUACUUGAUCUUAGAUCAAAAACAGAUUAGAUUUUUUGCAACAAAAAUGGGAUAAAAAGUGUGACAUUGACAUUAGUUCAACAAAAACAUGAAGGAACUACACCUAUAAAUUCCUACUAUCCAGGCUCGGCCUAUCCAUAAGACCGACAGGGGCAAUGGUCCCAGGCGGCACUUUAAAAGGGGCGGCAUAUAUAUGCAGCGAGGCGGCUCUCUAGUUGGGGCAGACUGAUUCAUCGGGUCCUUGGUCAGUGAUCGAGGGCCCAACAUCAGGAGGGGGCCUGAUGGCUUGCCCUGGUCUCCAGCUCAGCUGAGAGUGAGAUGCAGGUCAUGUAAUAGAGGCCUCACAAGCUCCCAAAGCGUUACCACAGUUACCAUGGCAAUGCUCUGUCCCGAGAAUCCCAUCAGUCUGCAGCUCACACCUGGUGGAGCUGCAGACUGGAGAGCCUGCGCACUUGACCACUAGGGAAUGGAGCACUGAAACUAAGGUAUGUGAGUGUGGGGAGGCUGAUCAUAGCCUGGCCCCUCCCCUGUCACCCCCACACCCUGUCCCUCCACUGUCACCCUCCCCACAGUUUUCCCCCCCAACUGGCAUCCUCACACCCUGCCACCCACCGUUACCCCCACACUGUAACUGUCACCCUCACAUCCUCCCACCUGUCACCCUCACAUUGUGACCCCACACUGUCUCCCUCACAUCCUGCGCCCCACCACUGUCAUUGUCACUUAAACAUCCUGCCCACCACCACUGUCAUUGUCACCCUCACAUCCAGCAACCCUACACUUUCACCCCUACACUAUCACCCUCACAUCCUUCCCCCCACCACUGUCACCCUCACAUCCUGACCCCGCACACUGCCACUGUCACCCUUUUUUUUUUUUGGUACACAGGCGAAGAUGAUUUGGUGCCCCCCCUCCCAAAAAGCAUCUUCAUCUGUGUGCCUCUUAACCCACCUUUUGUUUCUUUUACGCCCCUCUGUGUAUUUUACGCUUUCCAGCUCCUUUGUGUGUUUCUCUUUCACCCCCAGCCAGGGCCGGAUUAACAUAGGGGAUGAUGGAGCUGCAGCUCCAGGCCCAGGCCCAUGGAAUAGGCCCAUUUAAAAAAAAAAAAAAAAAAAAAAAAAUUUUUUUUUAACACACUACUCUUAGGUUUGCCACCUGACUGCUAUUUUACUGGCACAGCCGGUAUGUGAGGCUGCCUGGCCGUGACGGUAUUGCAGUAAUACCGGCAAUACAAAUGCAGGUAAUUUUCUCAGAAUAAAUGGAGAUUACCCUGCAAUACCAGCACCAGCCAGUAGGGGUCACUGUGUGUGGAGAGAGGCAGGGAUAGGAAGUUACAGAAUAUCCCUGCCUCUCUCUACUACUCACUGAUCCGUGGGGGAGCAGCAACACAGCACAGAGUCCAGACAGCAGCUCUACAGCUCAGGUAAGUGAGGGAUGGGGGGAAAGGCAGCAGGUGCACAUGGGGACACUGAGACAAUAGGGGACAUAUGGGGACACAGACACUAGGGGACACAUGAGGACAGAGACACUAGGGGACACUGAGACACUGACACUGGGAGACCUGGGAACACUGAGACACUUGGGGACACUGGAAAACAUGGGGACACUAGGGGACACUGAGACACUAGGGGACAUAUGGGGACACUGAGACACUAGGGGACACAUGGGGACACAGACACUAGGGGAGACUGAGACACUAGGACACAUGGGGACACAGACACUGGGAGACCUGGGUACACUGGAAAACAUGGGGACACUGAGACACUAUGGGACACUGGGACACAUGGGGAUGCUGUGAGACAUAGGGACAUUGGGAGACAUUGGGACACGGAGACACUAUGUUCCCAUGUCCCCCAGCCAGUGUCCCUAGUGUCUCAGUGUCCCCAAGUCUCCCAGUGUCUGUGUCCCAUGUCUCACAGUGUGCCUAGUGUCCCCAUGUGUCCCAGUGUCCCUAUUGUCCCAGUGUCCCCAUGUCUAUGUCCACAACUGUCCCCAUGUGUCCCCAAAUGUCUGUCUCCCAGCCAGUGUCCCCUAGUCUCCCAGUAUCCUCUAGUCUCUCAGUGCCUGUGUCCCUAGUGUCUUAGUGUCCCCAAAUGUUUCAGUGUCCCCAUGUCUCCCAGUGUCUGUGUCCCUAGUGUCUCAGUGUCCCCAUUUCUCCCAGUUUCCCUAAAUGUCUAUGUGUCCCCAUGUCUCUGUGUCCCCAUGUCUCUCAGUGUGCCCAGCAUCCUAGUGACAUGGGGACACUGGGAGAAAUGGGGACACAGACACUGGGAGACUAGGGGACAUGGGGACACUGACACUGUGAUACAUAGGGACACUGAGACACUGGGUGACUUGCGAGACUGAGACACUGGGAGACAGGGAGACACUGGGAGCAAUCCAUCUAUAAGGCAGAAUCAAACUGUGAGUAGUUUGUUGGUGAUUUUACAGAAUUUUCUCUGCUGUCACUCCUUGUGAUUUACAUCAUGUGAUGUCACGCAUAACUAAUUAAUUAUACAAAUGAUUAAGGCUGGUAUUUUUUUCCAAGAAAGGUGGCAACCUUAACUACUCUUCACAUAUUCUUGCUUAAAGGAGCACUAUAGGGUCAGUAACACAAUCAUGUAUUUCUGACCCUAUUAUGUUAAAACCACCACCCUGGCCCCUUCUUGCCUCCCUAAAUAUAGUAAAAUAUUACUUGUAUUCAAGUCUGCAGCUGCUGGCUCAGACGUGGUGGUCUGAGCAAAUAACAAUACUUCCCCAUAGGAUUGGCUGAGACUGUCAACUAGGCAGAUCAGGGGCAGAGCCAGCACAAGUCCAACAUAGCCCUGGCCAAUCAGCAUCUCCUCAUAAAGAUAAAUUGAAUCAGUGCAUCUCUAUGAGGAAAGUUCAGUGUCUGCAUGCAGAGGGUGGAGACACUGAAUGGCAGUGCUGCAGACUAGGCAGUACUGCCCCAUGAAGCACCUCUAGCAGCCAUCUAAGGAGCAGCCAAUGGAGUUAUUUUCUCUGAAAAGACAGUGUUUACUGCAAAAAGCCUGAAUGGAAUGCUUCUACUUACCAGAACAAAUACAAUAAGCUGUAGUUGUUCUGGUGACUAUAGUGUCCCUUUAAGUUUGGAAGCUUAAGAGGGAUGUAUGGGAACAAAACUUGUGUGGCUGGCUGACAUUAAAAUUAGUUUAGGUAAUGCUGAUGUUGGUCUCUGUGGCAUGUCCCCUUUCUUCUACACUCACUACAUACACCUUUUCUCUCUCUCAGACUAAAUACCAGGAACUUCUGCCUGCUAGUAAGAAGGUAAGGAGACAAGUGGACCAGCGAGUGCUAGGGGAAAGUCCUUGGAAAGCAUGGAGUGAGCGCAUUAUUAGACGCAUUUAUGUCAAGCUCAAUGUGCUGCCCGCAUAGUAUGCCCUUAGUUGGACAGCCUGCAGGAUUGGCAGGCAGCCUGACAUGCAUUCAUGCCAGGCAGACCUUCCAAUUCUUUGGACAAACAUGCCCCCUUUUUGGCAGGUCUUGUCACGUGAUUCGCGCCAGUGGCACACCCUUUUACCCCGCCCAUUGACUUCCUGCUUCACUGGACACUGCUGUUAGGGGUUAUGGAUUUACUUGAAAGAUGAAAGCAUAAAUUAGAGAGAAAUUAGCAUAGAGUAUGUGUUUUCUUAUAGCUGCAUUCUAUGAGUUUCCGUCCAGCACCAUCUCCAUCAGAUACAUGACGCUUGGGAGGUAUGACUGUUUUAGUGUUUUUGGUCGAUAAGAUUCCGUAAUUAGGCCCAUCAUUAUUGUCAGCACCAGGCCCACUGUGCUCUUAAUCCGGCCCUGCCCCCAGCCCGUCUAUCUCCCCCCAACCUUUGUGUCUCUUUUUCCUCUUCUCUAGGCCCUUCUGUUUGUCACUUUUAUCCCCAGCCACUCUGUACAUCUUUUUCAUCCCCAGGCCCAUCUGUGUGUCUUCCUCCCCCAUCAUGUCUCUCUUUGUGUCUUUCUCUCCACUCAGGCCCCCCUAUGUGCCACUCUCCCCUCCAUGUCACUUAGUGUUCCUCUCCCCUGCCCUCCAUGUCCAUUAGUAGUCCUCUUUUCUCCACUUUCUGUCCAUUAGUGGUCCUCUUCCCUGUCGCUUAGUGUUCCUCUCCCCUCCCUUCCCUGUCCCUUAAUGAUCCACUCCCCUCCCCUCGCUCCCCUGUCCCUUAUUGUUCCUCUCCUCUCCCUUCCCUGUCCCUUAGUGUUUCUCUCCCCUCCCUCUUAAUAUUCCUUUCCCCUCUCUCGCCUGUCUUUUAGUGUUCCUCUCCCCCCCUUACCUGUCUCUUAGUGCCCUUCUCUCCUCCCCCUUAGUGUUCUUUUUCCCUUCCCUUAGUGCACUCUCCCCCUUACCUGUCUCUUAGUGUCCCCCUCUCUUAGUGAUCUUCUCCCCUCCUCCUUAGUGUUAUUUUUCCCAUCCCUCCCCUGUACCCUUAAUGUUUCUCUCUCGGUCUCUCCCCAGUGUUCCUCUUCCCUCCCUCUCUUUUAGUGUUCGCCCCCACUCCCCUGUCCCUUAGUGUUCCAUUCCCCCUCCCCCCGUCCCUUAGUGCCCCUCUCCCUCCCCUCUUGGCCCCUCCCUGGUGUUUCUCUACCUCUCUUUACCUCCUCGGUGUUUCUCGACCUCCGCUCCACUUGGCCACGCUACACUGAAUGCCUGGCAGGAGGAAGUAAUGUGCUGAAUUGAAGGUUUCUUGAAACUCAACUAUUAUUGCCUUAAAAUUCCAUUUCAAUUUUCAAUUCUGUCAAUUUUAACAUAUAUAUAUUUUUUUAAAGUUUCUCAUUUGCAGACUUCAGGCCAAAAACGCUGAGCUAGGAGUAAAAAAAAAAAUUAAAACUCAACUCAUCUCUUUCUCCAGCUCAGCUACUUUGGCCUGAGGUUUGCAAUCCCGAGUCUAGUCAAUUCUGUUUCCCAAUACACAAUAUAGCAAAUGAAACCAGUUGUCACACACAAUCUAGACACAAAUCUCCUGAAUUUUCCCAGCGCUGAAAAGGUUAGCUGAAACAAGACAUUGAAAUUCCUCUCCUGCAUGGAGCAUUCUCUGUUUAUACAAUCCGUCAUCUCGGUAUUAUUAAAUUUCAUCUUUUAUAGCUGUUCUUAAUUUGUUCCAUUCGCUGGAAAGCCAAGUUCCUAACGAGAUAAGACGAUGCUGUAGAUAUAUAUAAAUAUUUUUUUUUCUUAUAUAUUUUUUUUCUUUAGCCCUUCAACAAUGGAAAGGCAGAGACUGCUGAAGUUAUUAGCGAGAACUAUACGACAUGCCGAAUCAAUUAGCCCGCACUGUGAAACCGCCCUUCACAUCUGCAGCCGUGUCCUAAAUACAAAAAGGAGGAAUGACCCCUAGAUAGACCAGGAGGCAGUAGAUGGAAAUCUUUAACCCUCGAAGUCACAGGGCCUCCACUCACAGUGUGCUACAUUUCAGUUAACGUGUUAGGUGGCCAAUUUCUGUCCAUCUAUCUAUCUCACCUUCAUCUUCCCAGCUGAGACGUUUUCAGACUUUGUAUGUGAUGACAAGUGAUGAAAUGAUGAGCUACUACAGUGCCAGUUCAAUGAUGUUACUUAAUGGGGCAUGUUAACAUAAGAGGUACUUGUUAAAAAAGUUCUGCUAGCCGAG